rnacentral:rRNA from 1 species
CCUACGGGGGGCAGCAGUGGGGAAUAUUGCACAAUGGAGGAAACCCUGAUGCAGCGACGCCGCGUGAGUGAAGAAGUAUUUCGGUAUGUAAAGCUCUGUCAGCAGGGAAGAAAAUGACGGUACCUGACCAAGAAGCCCCGGCUAACUACGUGCCAGCAGCCGCGGUAAUACGGAGGGGGCACACGUUAUCCGGAUUUACUGGGUGUAAAGGGAGCGUAGACGGCAGGGCAAGUCUGGAGUGAAAGGCGGGGGCUCAACCCCCGGACUGCUCUGGAAACUGGCAGGCUGGAGUGCAGGAGAGGUAAGUGGAAUUCCUAGGGUAGCGGUGAAAUGCGUAGAUAUUAGGAGGAACACCAGUGGCGAAGGCGGCUUACUGGACUGUAACUGACGUUGAGGCUCGAAAGCGUGGGGAGCAAACAGGAUUAGAUACCCGGGUAGUC